rnacentral:rRNA from 1 species
AGAGUUUGAUCCUGGCUCAGAACGAACGCUGGCGGCAUGCCUAACACAUGCAAGUCGAACGCUCGUAGCAAUACGGGAGUGGCAGACGGGUGCGUAACGCGUGGGAACCUGCCCAGAGGUUCGGAAUAACUGCGGGAAACUGCAGCUAAUACCGAAUGUUGCCUGAGGGCUAAAGGAGUAAUUCGCCUUUGGAGGGGCCCGCGUCCGAUUAGCUAGUUGGUGGGGUAAUGGCCUACCAAGGCGACGAUCGGUAGCUGGUCUGAGAGGAUGACCAGCCACACUGGAACUGAGACACGGUCCAGACUCCUACGGGAGGCAGCAGUGGGGAAUAUUGGACAAUGGGGGAAACCCUGAUCCAGCAAUGCCGCGUGGGUGAUGAAGGCCUUCGGGUUGUAAAGCCCUUUUGGCGGGGACGAUGAUGACGGUACCCGCAGAAUAAGCCCCGGCUAACUUCGUGCCAGCAGCCGCGGUAAUACGAAGGGGGCUAGCGUUGUUCGGAAUUACUGGGCGUAAAGGGCGCGUAGGCGGCUUCGAUAGUCAGGCGUGAAAGGCCUGGGCUCAACCCAGGAACUGCGCUUGAUACUGUGAGGCUAGAGUGUGGGAGAGGAUGGUGGAAUUCCCAGUGUAGAGGUGAAAUUCGUAGAUAUUGGGAAGAACACCGGUGGCGAAGGCGACCAUCUGGACCACUACUGACGCUGAGGCGCGAAAGCGUGGGGAGCAAACAGGAUUAGAUACCCUGGUAGUCCACGCUGUAAACUAUGCGUGCUGGACGUUGGCCAGCCUAGCUGGUCGGUGUCGUAGCUAACGCGAUAAGCACGCCGCCUGGGGAGUACGGUCGCAAGAUUAAAACUCAAAUGAAUUGACGG